GACGAACGCUGGCGGCGUGCCUAAUACAUGCAAGUAGAACGCUGAAGGAGGAGCUUGCUUCUCUGGAUGAGUUGCGAACGGGUGAGUAACGCGUAGGUAACCUGCCUGGUAGCGGGGGAUAACUAUUGGAAACGAUAGCUAAUACCGCAUAAAAUUGAUUAUUGCAUGAUAGUCAAUUAAAAGGUGCAAUUGCAUCACUACCAGAUGGACCUGCGUUGUAUUAGCUAGUUGGUGAGGUAACGGCUCACCAAGGCAACGAUACAUAGCCGACCUGAGAGGGUGAUCGGCCACACUGGGACUGAGACACGGCCCAGACUCCUACGGGAGGCAGCAGUAGGGAAUCUUCGGCAAUGGACGGAAGUCUGACCGAGCAACGCCGCGUGAGUGAAGAAGGUUUUCGGAUCGUAAAGCUCUGUUGUAAGAGAAGAACGAGUGUGAGAGUGGAAAGUUCACACUGUGACGGUAUCUACCA
rnacentral:rRNA from 1 species